CAGCCGCCGCGGUAAAACGGAGGGUGCAAGCGUUAAUCGGAAUUACUGGGCGUAAAGCGCACGCAGGCGGUCUGACAAGUCAGAUGUGAAAUCCCCGGGCUUAACCUGGGAACUGCAUUUGAAACUGUCAGGCUGGAGUCUUGUAGAGGGGGGUAGAAUUCCAGGUGUAGCGGUGAAAUGCGUAGAGAUCUGGAGGAAUACCGGUGGCGAAGGCGGCCCCCUGGGCCAACACUGACGCUCAUGCACGAAAGCGUGGGGAGCAAACAGGAUUAGAUACCCCUGUAGUCCCUGUCUCUUAUAC
rnacentral:rRNA from 1 species